rnacentral:rRNA from 1 species
GAUGAACGCUAGCUACAGGCUUAACACAUGCAAGUCGAGGGGCAGCAUGAACUUAGCUUGCUAAGUUUGAUGGCGACCGGCGCACGGGUGAGUAACGCGUAUCCAACCUGCCCUUUACGCGGGGAUAGCCUUCUGAAAGGAAGUUUAAUACCCGAUGAAUUCGUUUAGUCGCAUGGCUUGAUGAACAAAGAUUUAUCAGUAAAGGAUGGGGAUGCGUCCCAUUAGCUGGUUGGUGGGGUAACGGCCCACCAAGGCGACGAUGGGUAGGGGUUCUGAGAGGAAGGCCCCCCCACAUUGGAACUGAGACACGGUCCAAACUCCUACGGGAGGCAGCAGUGAGGAAUAUUGGUCAAUGGACGAGAGUCUGAACCAGCCAAGUAGCGUGCAGGAUGACGGCCCUAUGGGUUGUAAACUGCUUUUAUAAGGGAAUAAAGUGAGUCUCGUGAGACUUUUUGCAUGUACCUUAUGAAUAAGGACCGGCUAAUUCCGUGCCAGCAGCCGCGGU